UUGACUGAGUGGCGGACGGGUGAGUAACGCGUGGGUAACCUGCCUCAUACAGGGGGAUAACAGUUAGAAAUGACUGCUAAUACCGCAUAAGACCACGGUACCGCAUGGUACAGGGGUAAAAACUCCGGUGGUAUGAGAUGGACCCGCGUCUGAUUAGGUAGUUGGUGGGGUAACGGCCUACCAAGCCGACGAUCAGUAGCCGACCUGAGAGGGUGACCGGCCACAUUGGGACUGAGACACGGCCCAA
rnacentral:rRNA from 1 species